UGAGGUGGCGACCGGCGGCACGGGUGAGUAACACGUAUGCAACCUGCCUGUAAGCGGGGAAGUAACCCGUUGAAAGACGGACUAAUACCGCAUAAUACUAAAUUACUGCAUGGUAAUUUAUUUAAACAUUUAUGGCUUACAGAUGGGCAUGCGCAUGAUUAGCUAGUUGGAGAGGUAACGGCUCCCCAAGGCAACGAUCAUUAGGGGUUCUGAGAGGAAGGUCCCCCACACUGGUACUGAGACACGGACCAGACUCCUACGGGAGGCAGCAGUGAGGAAUAUUGGUCAAUGGACGAGAGUCUGAACCAGCCAAGUCGCGUGCAGGAAGAAUGUCCUUAAUGGAUUGUAAACUGCUUUUGCAGGGGAAUAAAGUGCAUCACGUGUGAUGUUUUGUAUGUACUCUGCGAAUAAGGAUCGGCUAACUCCGUGCCAGCAGCCGC
rnacentral:rRNA from 1 species